CCCUUAGAUGUUCUGGGCCGCACGCGUGCUACACUGAGUGGAUCAGCGGGUCAGGUUGCGCGAAAGCGUUUCCUAAUCUUUAAAUCCGCUCGUGAUGGGGAUUGACGGUUGCAAUUUUCUGUCAUGAACGAGGAAUACCUUGUAAGCGCGGGUCAUCAUCCCGCGCUGAUUACGUCCCUGCCCUUUGUACACACCGCCCGUCGCUCCUACCGAUUGAAUGCUCAGGUGAGCCAUUCGGACUUUCAUCAUGCUGGUUUCCAGUUUUGAUGAAGGAAAGUCUUGCGAACCUUAUCAUUUAGAGGAAGGAGAAGUCGUAACA
rnacentral:rRNA from 1 species